AAGCUCUCUGGCUAAUCCCUAGAAUUCUACCAGGAAGGAAGGUUCCUGUUGCUGCUGAUGGAGCACAGCAGGGGACAGCCAGGGGACAACCACCCGGCAGGGCCGCCCAGGUGCACUUGAAACAGGGCACCGAGCCCGUCCGCAGGGGUGCUGCCGAAGCAGAGAGAAAACCCCACCUGGAAGAUGUAUUCCCUAUUCGAGAAGGAAGAGACCCAGUGAAGACAAGGACACGGUGCGGACGCUGUUCUGGGCAAAAGGGACCGUAAGGUGAGCGCACAGAGGAGAGAAAGAGCUCAGGUGUGCACUAAGAGCCCAGCUGGGUUUGCCACAAGCUGGCUUACGGCAAAGGGAGCCGUGUCACCUUCCAGAAAGCCUGGGGAGCUUAGCAAGCUGCAGGCAGACAGACAUCAGGCAGGAGCUGAAAUGAAGUCCCCAGGGCUGAUUCUCUUCUCCUUCCAGUAGGUUCUCUAUUACCAGCAUGCCCGCCUUCAGGGUCGCCAAGAAAUAAGCCUAGCGGGUCUCCAAUUCCCAGAGUUCCAGGCCGAUGGAAGCCGCUGGAAACCCUCCCUCCCUUCCUUCCCUCAAGGGCCACUCCCAGGGGACAGGCAGCAGACCACCUCCAGCUGAACCCGUUACUGUGUUCGCCGUCUUGGGUCUGGAUCAUAAGCUGGAUCCCCAAAGCCGUGGAUGGAGCCCCGUCCAGGCCAGAGAGAGCCAGCCCGUGGGAGGGGUGGGUUCCCCGUGUCAUAAUGGGGGGCGGUUGCUGGAGAAAGAAGUCUAGACGCUUCCAGAAAUGAGAGGAGGUCGUUGUAAGUGAAGCGACCUGAGCAAAUGGUCCAGUGAGCCUGGAGAGGUCCGUCGGAGACCCGGGAGGACCACGAUUACGGCCAAGGUGCCCUAUCCCGGGUUUUUCUUACUUCCUCCAUCACAGUCACCAGAGUCAAGACCAGGGACUAGAACGCACCAGUUGACAUUCGUGCUGUCACCUCACUGGUUGCCAGGUAGCCGUUUCCCAUUGUAGGUUAUAGAUCCAUAUCCCCCUUUUCUUGACCUAAACUGAACAACCAAAUCUGCCAGAUCUUGUGGGAAACACGCGUGUGACCCUGGUUGCGGUCAGGUGCUGUGCUUCAGGUCGACAGGUGUGAGAAUACCCACGGUGUGAGCACCCGACUAGCGUGAGAAAACCCACAGUUAACCGUUGGGAGGUUGGGGUGGGGGUCUUCCUCCUCAGGCCCCCAAAUUAUUCUUGUCACCCACAGGCUGGCUCUUAAUUAAUUCAAACCUUUUAGAACCGCCAAGCAGGCCUUUUACUCUAUAAUGAAUAGUGCUAAUACA